rnacentral:ribozyme from 14 species
CACACACUCAAUAGAUGAAAGUGAAGAAGAGAAGAGAGAACAAGGAAGAAACGAGCGAACGAAUUGUAUUGUAUGCUGUGUAUUGUAUUGUAUUCUGUGUAUUUGUGUUUGUGUUUUUGUUU